GACCUUUCAGAUUUCAGUUUCGUGACUAUGAGAUGACAGAUCAAAAGCGUAUUAAAACCGGAAGGGAGCGACAGCAUCAGCUUCAUAGCUUGA
rnacentral:lncRNA from 1 species